CCCUUAGAUGUUCUGGGCCGCACGCGCGCUACACUGACUACUUCAACGAGUUGUUUCCUUGAUCGAAAGGUCUGGGUAAUCUUUGAAAGGUAGUCGUGAUGGGGAUAGAUCCUUGCAAUUUUUGAUCUUCAACGAGGAAUUCCUAGUAAACGCAAGUCAUCAGUUUGCAUUGAUUACGUCCCUGCCCUUUGUACACACCGCCCGUCGCACCUACCGAUUGAAUGGUCCGGUGAAUCUUUAGGACUGUGGCUGAGGCCUUGCCUUGUGCGGGUCUGGCCGUGGGAAUUUAGUUAAACCUUACCAUUUAGAGGAAGGUGAAGUCGUAACA
rnacentral:rRNA from 1 species